rnacentral:rRNA from 1 species
AUUGAACGCUGGCGGCAUGCCUUACACAUGCAAGUCGAACGGCAGCGGACCUUCGGGUGCCGGCGAGUGGCGAACGGGUGAGUAAUAUAUCGGAACGUACCUUUCAGUGGGGGAUAACGUAGCGAAAGUUACGCUAAUACCGCAUAUUCUGUGAGCAGGAAAGCAGGGGAUCGCAAGACCUUGCGCUGAUUGAGCGGCCGAUAUCAGAUUAGCUAGUUGGUGAGGUAAAGGCUCACCAAGGCGACGAUCUGUAGCGGGUCUGAGAGGAUGAUCCGCCACACUGGAACUGAGACACGGUCCAGACUCCUACGGGAGGCAGCAGUGGGGAAUUUUGGACAAUGGGCGCAAGCCUGAUCCAGCCAUGCCGCGUGAGUGAAGAAGGCCUCGGUUGUAAGUACGUACUUUCGUCCGGGAGGAAAGUACGCACUCUCUAACAUAGGUGUGGAGUGACGGUACCGGAA